AAUGGAUGAUGUAAAUCCAAAGACUUUGGGCACUCUGUCCUCUGUCCCUAUAAAACCCCUUCCAGCCAAACAAAACUAUGCCUGUUGGACAGGUGAAGAGGAGAAAAGUCGUGUCACAGGCACUACAGAGAGCUCUGAAACUCACCUCUCCACCAGAGCCCAGCAAGGUCCCAUUGGUGGCUGUGGUGUAUUCUGGGGGCGGGACCAGAGCAAUGACUGGCACAUAUGGGAGCCUCAGAGCACUGCAGAAACUCCAACUCCAUGAUGAAGUCAGUUACAUCAUAGGAGUUCCUGGCUCCACCUGACAAAAAUGGUUUCAUUGUCUGACCAGCAGAGGGCAUUAUCAAAGGACCAGAACCCUCUUCCCAUCUACACAGUUCUCAACAUGA